rnacentral:rRNA from 1 species
UACGUAGGGAGCAAGCGUUGUCCGGAAUCAUUGGACGUAAAGCGCGCGUAGGUGGCCCCAUAAGUCCGCUGUGAAAGUCAAAGGCUCAACCUUUGAAAGCCGGUGGAUACUGUGGGACUAGAGUACGGAAGAGGCGAGUGGAAUUCCUGGUGUAGCGGUGGAAUGCGCAGAUAUCAGGAGGAACACCAAUAGCGAAGGCAGCUCGCUGGGACGUUACUGACACUGAGGCGCGAAAGCGUGGGGAGCGAACAGG